rnacentral:rRNA from 1 species
UACGGAGGGUGCAAGCGUUAUCCGGAUUCACUGGGUUUAAAGGGUGCGUAGGUGGGUCUGUAGGUCCGUGGUGAAAUCUCCGAGCUUAACUUGGAAACUGCCAUGGAUACUAUAGAUCUUGAAUACUGUGGAGGUUAGCGGAAUAUGUCAUGUAGCGGUGAAAUGCUUAGAUAUGACAUAGAACGCCAAUUGCGAAGGCAGCUGGCUACACAAAUAUUGACACUGAUGCACGAAAGCGUGGGGAUCAAACAGG